rnacentral:rRNA from 2 species
UUGACCUCGAAUCAGGUAGGGAUACCCGCUGAACUUAAGCAUAUCAAUAAGCGGAGGAAAAGAAACCAACCGGGAUUACCUCAGUAACGGCGAGUGAAGCGGUAACAGCUCAAAUUUGAAAUCUGGCUCCUGCGGAGUCCGAGUUGUAAUUUGUAGAAGAUGCUUUGGGAGGUAGGGCCGGCCUAAGUUCCUUGGAACAGGACAUCAGAGAGGGUGAGAAUCCCGUAUGUGGCCGCGGCCUACGCCCGUGUAAAGCUCUUUCGACGAGUCGAGUUGUUUGGGAAUGCAGCUCAAAAUGGGUGGUAAAUUUCAUCUAAAGCUAAAUAUUGGCCAGAGACCGAUAGCGCACAAGUAGAGUGAUCGAAAGAUGAAAAGCACUUUGGAAAGAGAGUUAAACAGUACGUGAAAUUGUUGAAAGGGAAGCGCUUGCACCCAGACUUGGGCGUCGUCGAUCAUCCGAGGUUCUCCUCGGUGCACUCGGCGAUGCACAGGCCAGCAUCGGUUUGGAUGGUUGGAGAAAGGCGCUAGGAACGUAGCUCUCUUCGGGGAGUGUUAUAGCCUAGAGCGUAAUGCAGCCCAUCCGGACCGAGGACCGCGCCUUCGGGCUAGGAUGCUGGCGUAAUGGUUGCAAGCGACCCGUCUUGAAACACGGACCAAGGAGUCUAACAUCUAUGCGAGUGUUUGGGCGUUAAACCCAUACGCGGAAUGAAAGUGAACGUAGGUGAGAACCCGUUAGGGUGCAUCAUCGACCG